GGUGACAUAGCCAAGUGGCUUAGGCAGUUGAUUGCAAAUCAACCUACCCCGGUUCGAGUCCGGGUGUCACCU
rnacentral:tRNA from 1 species